rnacentral:rRNA from 1 species
GGGGAAUAUUUCGCAAUGGACGAAAGUCUGACGGAGCAACGCCGCGUGAGUGAUGAAGGAUUUCGGUUCGUAAAGCUCUGUUGCAGGGGAAAAAGAAAGUGAUUGUACUCUGCGAGAAAGGGACGGCCAACUUCGUGCCAGCAGCCGCGGUAAUACGAAGGUCCCUAGCGUUGUUCGGAAUUAUUGGGCGUAAAGAGCUCGUAGGUGGUUUUGUAAGUCAGGUGUGAAAGCCCCGAGCUUAACUCGGGAAGUGCACUUGAAACUACUUAACUUGAGUACGGAAGAGGUGAGUGGAAUUCCUGGUGUAGUGGUGAAAUACGUAGAUAUCAGGAGGAACAUCGGUGGCGAAGGCGGCUCACUGGUCCAGUACUGACACUGAGGAGCGAAAGCAUGGGGAUCAAAC